ensembl:lncRNA
UUGAGCUCCACCGCAGUCAGGACCCUUAGUGUGUGCCCUGCACGCUCCUGUCCUGGGAUCUCUCCCUGCCUUUACGACAUUACUCCAGAUCCCUGAGUCUAGGCUGUUGUCAGGGUUUUGUGCUUUUCCCUUCUAAACCAGUCCUCCUUUCUAUCCUCAGGAAGGUCUCAAGUGCUGCUUUAGUGACUCAUGAAAGUAACCCAAAGUGUUGCUUUUCUGAUUCUUCUUCCUCAGAACCCCCCAACACACGUAUGACCUGCACCGCAUCUCUGACCAUGAUGUCACCCUGAGAUGCUGGGCUCUGGGCUUCUACCCUGCGGAGAUCACCCUGACCUGGCAGCAGGAUGGGGAGGACCUGACCCAGGCCACAGAACAUGUGGAGACCAGGCCUGCAGGAGAUGGGACCUCCCAGAAGCGGGCGGCGGAGAGGAGCAGAGAUACACGUGCCACGUGCAGCAUGAGGGGCUGCCUGAGCCCCUCACCUUGAGACGGGCUGCUGCCUGAGCCCACCAUCCCCACCAUGGGCAUCAUUGCUGGCCUGGUUCUCCCUGUGGUCACUGGAGCUGUGGUGGUGGGAGCUGUGAUGUGGAGGAAGAAGCACGCAGGUAGGGAAGGCAGUGGGAGGGGAAUUUGAGUUUUCUUGUCCCACGGAGAGGUUUCAAGCCCCGGGUAGAAGUUUGUCCCACCUUGUUCAUGAGAAGUACCACCCACAUACCUGUGCUUGCCCACUCUGGAGCCAACUGCUAACACUCACUCUUUAGUAAAGACUUGUGCCAAUGAAGGACAAAUUUUUCACCUUUAUGUUCUGGUGUUGGGGACCUGAUCCCCAGCAGUUGAAGGUCAGGGACAAUUCCCUGAUGUAGACAGACCUCCAGAAGACAGUUUGGUCCAGUGCCCCCGCACAUCCCUUCUUCGUGUUUUCCGAUACAGUCAUGAGUCUUCAGUUAACAGUUCUGGAAACUUCAUUUUUUUGUUUGUUUUUUUUUAAAGAUUUUAUUUAUUUAUUCGACAGAGAUAGAGACAGCCAGCGAGAGAGGGAACACAAGCAUGGGGAGUGGGAGAGGAAGAAGCAGGCUCAUAGCAGAGGAGCCUGAUAUGGGGCUCGAUCCCAUAACGCCGGGAUCACGCCCUGAGCUGAAGGCGGACGCUUAACCGCUGUGCCACCCAGGCGCCCCUGGAAACUUCAUUUUGAUACAGGACUAGGGUAUUCCUCUGGAUACCAUGACCAGCCUUCUCCCUGGCCUCUGACAUGUUUUCUUCCCACAAGUGGAAAAGGAGGGAACUACUCACAGCCGACUGAAAGUAAGAGACCCUGGGAUAGUGUAGACAGGACCCCAAAGGGAGCUAACCCACCCCAUAGCUCCCCCUUUAGUCUCACCUCCUGUGGGCUCUGAGCACAUCCUGUUUGUUCUACCCCAGACAAUGACAGUGCCCAGGGCUCUGAUGUGUCUCUCAUGGCUCCUAAAGGUGAGACCCUGGAGGGCCUGACGUGGGGAGGGGUUGGGGCAGAGGGGACAUGACUGGGUUAUGAGGACUCUUUGAGUGGGACAGUAUAAGCAUUUAGUGGGCUGUGGAGAUGUCAACAUUUACAUGAUUGACCUGAAUUUGUUCAUGAUUAUUUUCUUUCACAGUGUGAGCCAGUUGCCUUGUGGUGGACUGAGUGAUGCAAGACUUGUUCACACUCCCACUUUUUUGACAUCAAGAGCCUGGGACGUCUCUAUCUGCUAACGGUGUCUGAAUUGUCUGUGUUCCUAUUAGCAUAACGUGAGGUGGGGAAACUGGCCCACCCCCACCCAUCAUGACUCCUCCCCAAACUGACCUGUGCUCUCUUCCCUGAUCUGCUUUCCUGUUCCAGCAGAGACGGGACUGGGUCAUCUCCAUCCCUGUCUUCAUGUUUGGCUGAGACGUAAUAUUUUACUUCGCUAUUGAAAAUCUGGAUAUGAAUUUGUUUUUUUUUUUUGAAGAUUUCAUUUAUUUAUUUGAGAGAUAGAGACAGCCAGCGAGAGAGGGAACACAAGCAGGGGGAGUGGGAGAGGAAGAAGCAGGCUCACAGCAGAGGAGCCUUGAUGUGGGGCUCGAUCCCAGAACGCCGGGAUCAUGCCCUGAGCCGAAGGCAGACGCCCAACCGCUGUGCCACCCAGGCGCCCCUGAAUUUGUGUUUUCUACUCUUGUCAUAUAGAACCGAUGUGGUAAUAAAGGACAAGACUCCUAAAGUUGAGACAGGAAAUAAAUGGAAGCCUGAGAACCUUCCAGAAGCUGCCUGAUUGAUGUGCUAUUGUAGGUGGGACAGGAGAGGCUGUGAGUAGCCAACAGUGGACAGAACUGUGCCUGGUUAGUAUUCAGUGUACUGUGGGCUUUAACAUGGUCACUCCUCAGCUAAGUCAUUUUUGCUAUUCCCUGGUCCCUUCAGUGGAAACUUGUUACACCAGGACCUGUGAUCACAGGGACUCAGACAUCACCUGUCUCUAGGACCAUGGGCAUCAAGAGCUUCCUUGACCAGAUCAGCGUAGGCUCCAGCUUGGAUCAGGCCCUCAGCCCCCAACUUUUGGGUGGGUUUUUUUCUUUGUUUAUAUAGAGAAUUAGGCCUAUUCUUAUUCUUGUGUCCGAGUUCUGGUCUCAUGUUCCUCUGGUGUCCCCCAGUCUGUGACCAUCACAGGGGUCCUAUGGCCUC